UAGUCCACGCCGUAAACGAUGGAUACUCGGUGUGUGGUUUUCGGACUGCGUGCCUUAGCGAAAGCGUUAAGUAUCCCACCUGGGGAGUACGUCGGCAACGAUGAAACUCAAAGGAAUUGACGGGGGUCCGCACAAGCGGUGGAGUAUGUGGUUUAAUUCGAUGAUGCGCGAGGAACCUUACCUAGGCUCGAAUUGUACUGGACGGUAUUAGAAAUAGUACUUCCUUCGGGUCAGUAUGAAGGUGCUGCAUGGUUGUCGUCAGCUCGUGCCGUGAGGUGUUGGGUUAAGUCCCGCAACGAGCGCAACCCCUAUUCUUAGUUGCCAUCAGGUUAUGCUGGGGACUCUAAGGAGACUGCCUGCGCAAGCAGUGAGGAAGGUGGGGAUGACGUCAAAUCAUCAUGGCCCUUACGCCUAGGGCUACACACGUACUACAAUGGUUGGUACAAAGAGCAGCAAGCUAGUAAUAGCAAGCGAAUCUCAUAAAGCCAAUCUCAGUUCGGAUUGGGGU
rnacentral:rRNA from 1 species